UACGUAGGGUGCAAGCGUUGUCCGGAAUUAUUGGGCGUAAAGAGCUCGUAGGCGGUCUGUCGCGUCUGCUGUGAAAAUCCAGGGCUCAACCCUGGACCUGCAGUGGGUACGGGCAGACUAGAGUGCGGAAGGGGAGAUCGGAAUUCCUGGUGUAGCGGUGAAAUGCGCAGAUAUCAGGAGGAACACCGGUGGCGAAGGCGGAUCUCUGGGCCGGAACUGACGCUGAGGAGCGAAAGCAUGGGGAGCGAACAGG
rnacentral:rRNA from 1 species